UUGGUGUUUUUCUUUUAACUUUUUCCGUACUUAAUAUUUGCAUGGCGGUAUGCACAAGAAUAGAGAUAAAGGAGAUUCGAGCUCCUCAGCUCUCCACCACCACCAGGACUAACCUGUUCCACGCGCUGACGCUGGCCGCGAGCACCUUUCCCAGCCCUGCGCCCCCUGAAAGGCUCCUCCCUCCUGGGUCUGGCUGUGUCUCCAUUAGAAUCCAGCUUUCCUCAGCCGCCAGCUGAUCUUCCCAGAGUGGAAGGUCCACCCAGGAAGCUCCCCGAGCCGCGGCGAGGGCAGCACUGCCCAGCUCAGCCCAGGAAGGAGGCCACCAUCCGCACAGACGCUGAGAAUCCUGGCGAGUACGUCUACAGUGAGUGAGCAGAAGACAGACAGGAGGAAGGAGAAGCCCUGCUCAUCAAAGCAAUAUUUCUCACACCUCCCUGCACACUACGCCAGUGGACCCAACCUGUGGCUGCUGCUGUCGAGAAGCGCCUGAGCAAGAAGGCAGAAUAGCGGCUGCACUGCGGAGUCAGAGUCUGGGGAAAACUGCAGCCGCUUCAGUUGCCAUGAGAUGAACGGCUCUACCCUGCUCCUCUCUCCAUGAUGUGCCGCCUCGAUGCGGGCCAGAGCAGCAGCAACUUGCGAGGCACUGGAACCUCCGAGGCUGUGAGCAGAGAACCAGCCUUUUUUCCUCACAGGCUGGCGAUCUCAGGUGCUUGCUAGAGCGGCAGAGGCGACUGACGAAGGGGACUGGCCGCGUGCUCUGUUCCCCGGGCGGACCUGUGGUCUCCACCUCCCCCUGCCCGUGUCCUGGGAACGUGAAGAGCUGAGAUGGGCUCCGCAGGCAGGAGGGGUCAGGAGACGGCCCGCCCCCAGCCCUGUGCCCUCAGCUUCACUGCCAGCCUUCCUGGAUGAGACCCGUCGAGUCCCGGGUGGGAGUCUGCGCCUCUGGGCGAACUCCACGCUGAGCUUCACUUCCGUCUCAGCUCCUUCCCCUCCCAGAGCCUCUCCGCAGGACACGCCUUUCCAAGAACCAGCUCUGGCAAGUAAAAUAAUGAAUCAUAAACUUUAUUUCCAAAUGUAAACGUCACUAAACAUGCAUACAUGUUAAAACAAUAAAAUUUACAAUUUCAUUAAUUUUUUUUCUUUUUGCAUAGGACAUCAUUACAAUAUAGAAUCUAUGCCUUACAAAAUACAUACAAAGUUUUCUCUCAGCAAGCCAAGGCCAGAUUGGGAACUGUACAACUGUAAUACUUCACUGUAGUGAUCCAGGAAAGAUGGAACGUGGCCUCUGGAAGCAUGGUGGGGAGCUGGUUAAAAAGAAAAGAAAGAAGUUCCUACAGAGAAGGAAAACGUGAACUCGAUGGAAAUGGUCGUGGACCCUUGGAUUCUGCCUUGGGAUUUUGGCAAAGGAUUCCAGAUAGGCCCCACCAGUGGGUCUGGACGGGGAGGGGUUGCCUGGGCGAAACCAACACAACCACAACGCAAAACCCCAGCGCUGCUGCAAGCCCUGAACCAGACAACGCACUAUCACCCAGCAGAGCCUGCUGCUGCCCCUGCGGGCUGAUGAGGCCCUAGCACUGUGGACCUGCAAGUCUCUCCGGGGGGAGGGCGGGUAACAGUCUCCUACCCAGAAGCAGGCAGGAAGAGGCCCCAGGGUCAGGACGCCCCGCAGUAUCUAAACCACACCGGAAAGCGGCCACCUUCUCCUUUGGGGGGUGUCUGGCAACCCUGGGGAGGAAUCCUCCAAGUACAGGCCGUGGGCUAUUCAGGAUGGACCACCUGACCUGCGGUGGCCUUCUUGAACACAUUCAGCUCACGCACGAGGCUUCCAAAUGCGCACGGCUGGCAGCUUAUCAACAGGUCCCUGAGGAAGACAUCAGGGGACCAGGGCUCCAGAGCCCCUGAGGAGCUGCACAGGAGCAUGCCCCACCAAUGGGCAACACACGCGGGGGCUGCUUCUCUCCCGUCCUCUUUAGUUUUAAACAAAAGUAGUAAAGUUUUAAAGCUGCAUGAGAACAGAAGAGGCUGGGCAGGACCAGGGGGCUGCGCUGAAGUCCAGCAGCUCAGCAGGGGUCAGCAGAAACCAAGGGCAGCCUCCCUCUCCCGUGGUGACUGGGAGCUCGCGAUUCCACUCUUCCGAGGGACGAGGGCCGGGGUGGCCAGCAGAAGGGAGGGCCGCUCCCUCAAUGGUGCUCAGGCAUUACUCAGUAGUAAGCUGGAUUGUGCGUCCAAAUUCUGGUACAAAAUUCUCUGGAAUGUGUCCAGGACGAACCCUGGAAAUCUUCCGAAUCAGGAAAGUUAGUCAGAGGAUUUGGACCUUCCUGGGGCCAUCCAGAUCUCAAAACCCGUCAGCCCACAUCUGGAUUUUAGCUUUGGAAGACAGGGUCACCACAUGUGGAAAAACUGGGCAGCAAAAGAUGUAGGUAACCUACAAAGCAUUUCUUGCUGACCGUGACGUGACCAACACUUCAAACCUUGAAACCUUCCAGCACUGUGCCUUUGACUGGAUGACCUUUUAAAAAUGGGUUAAAAAAAUUCAGUGACACCUGUCGGAAGUUAAAAUAAUCAGGUUGCCUUGUAAACAAAGCCACAAGCAGGAGCUGAGGGACGAGGCCACGCUGCUGCUCAGAUCCCGUCUGCCUAGUGGGCGGCUCCCUGCCCCGCAGAGACCCCGGGUGAGGUCCCAGGAAGUGGGACUACCCUGCGCAGUCCAUCUUAGCACCUGCUUCUGGCAAGAAAGAGGCUGGGUCUCCCGGACACACCGGGCUGGGAGGCAGAAGUCUUCACGGAGACGGUGGCUCUGCCACGCCUCCCCUGGGACCAGUCAGCCAUCAGCCCUCCGUGCUGGUCCCCACCCCGAGCCACUUGUCACUGGUCUGAGCCAUCGUCCAGGGCACGGUGAGGCCUGGGGUCACCAGGGUUUAGAUGUUCGCACCGAGAGGCUGCACCGCGGCAAGUCCCGCCCCCGCCCCCGAGCAGGGCCGCACGGGGACUUGUAGGGUGGGAUGGGGAUCUUGUACCUCAAGUCUUGUGGAUGGGAGGUGUGGCGGGGUGCAGCUCGGGCACCUCCAGCACCACGUUCCCUACCCAUCACUGCGUAGCACCCGUCAGGAGGGGACCCCAGCACCCUCUAUGUUUCUGUAUGGCUGCGGGACUCAGGAGGCAUUUGGGGGUUGACAACUGCUCCCCUAAUAUGGCUGACACUAAGAGGGGUUUUAUGGUCUGGGACACCAGCCCCUCGAUGGCUGGUCCAGAAUCACUCCUGAACCUUUGCAGUGGCUCUCUCCCUCCACUUAGGCACCUUCCAUUUUGAGAUUUCUGCCUCCUCGGCCCAUUAGAAUUAAAGUCUGCCCCCAAACAUAGGUUUGACUUUUCACUAUGAUUUCCAGGAGCCCCUUGGGUUCCUUAAUCCCACUUCCACCUAUUAGACUGAAACCAGCAAGCCUGGCCAUAAACCACAACAACGAAAGCCUCUGCGGCAGACCCAGGCUGGGAAGACACUGCAUCUCAGCAGGCAACCCUCCUUUCACGAUGAGAUGGAACCCUGCCGCGAGAACCCUUUAGAACUGAGCCUGAGAUUCCUGGGUCCCCCCACCCCCACCCCGUGAUGAGAUGAAUUUAAACCUCAGAUGAUCCUGGAGGGUGCAGCGGGGCUCCCGGGGGAUUCCCUCCAGGUGCCCUGUCCCCAUUUCCCAGCCAGACGAGGCUGGAGGACCGCACCCUGCCAUUAAGGAGAACUGCCCUGGGAGUGAAGACACACUCAUCUGCCAAAAGCAGCCGGCGCCUGCAUAUUUCUGUUUUAAGGCAACGUUACCCUUCCAUCUAUCAGACGGAACAGCCCUGGGUCGUUUCGAGGAAAAAUUAAAUUAAGUGCUUUCUUUGGAAACAGCCUACGCCCACCUGCCCUCCCCCACCCCCCACCCCACUCUAAAACAAACCAGCUCUUUCUUUUAUUCCAAGGUGAAUGGGUUUAGAGUCCUUUUCCCCGCUUCCUACGUGGAGCUGAAAACCUCCUUCUGUGACGCUGUGGGCAGAUCACAGCAGACGCCUGGCUCCUGCGACGAGCACUGCUGGCUCCCUCUGCUGCCUUCAGAACCAUAGAUGUGGGUGCACCAAAGGACUUUGGAAUAAAAUUCCUGAACCUGGAA